GCAGUGACCGUGUAGGUGGAAGCAGCAGUGGAGGAGGAGGAUGUAGCCAACACUGUUUUAUAUAUAUAUAUAUAUAUAUAUAUAUAUUUUUUUUUUUUUUAAUUGGGGUAGCCCCCAAAAUAUUGGGACAUAUAAAAAAAGACAACUCUGUUCCGCAGAGUAGCUGUUGACAUUAUAGUUGUGCAGGCACUUUGUUGACUUUAGAGAACCUCGGGCCAAUCGCACAUCCCUGUGGCGGCGACUUUGCAUUCGGAUGUCAUCCAUAUCAACUUUCGAUGCCAGUUUCUGCGCCUACCAUGGUGACCACGAGUAACAGGGAAUCCAGGUUCCAUUCCGUACAGGGAACCUGAGAAACGGCUACCACAUGCAAGAAAGGCAUCAGGCGCGCAAAUGACCCACUCCCGAUGAGGGUAGGUAGUGAU